AUACGUAGGGUGCGAGCGUUGUCCGGAAUUACUGGGCGUAAAGAGCUCGUAGGUGGUUUGUCGCGUCGUCUGUGAAAUUCCGGGGCUUAACUCCGGGCGUGCAGGCGAUACGGGCAUAACUUGAGUACUGUAGGGGAGACUGGAAUUCCUGGUGUAGCGGUGAAAUGAGCAGAUAUCAGGAGGAACACCGGUGGCGAAGGCGGGUCGCUGGGCAGUAACUGACGCUGAGGAGCGAAAGCAUGGGUAGCGAACAGGAUUAGAUACCCUGGUAGUCCAUGCCGUAAACGGUGGGCGCUAGGUGUAGGGGUCUUCCACGACUUCUGUGCCGUAGCUAACGCAUUAAGCGCCCCGCCUGGGGAGUACGGCCGCAAGGCUAAAACUCAAAUGAAUUGACGGGG
rnacentral:rRNA from 1 species